rnacentral:rRNA from 1 species
CCUACGGGCGGCAGCAGUGGGGAAUAUUGGACAAUGGGGGGAACCCUGAUCCAGCCAUGCCGCGUGUGUGAAGAAGGCCCUCGGGUUGUAAAGCACUUUCAGUGAGGAAGAACGCCUGGUGGUUAAUACCCAUCAGGAAAGACAUCACUCACAGAAGAAGCACCGGCUAACUCCGUGCCAGCUGCCGCGGUAAUACGGAGGGUGCGAGCGUUAAUCGGAAUUACUGGGCGUAAAGCGCGCGUAGGUGGCUUGAUAAGCCGGUUGUGAAAGCCCCGGGCUCAACCUGGGAACGGCAUCCGGAACUGUCAAGCUAGAGUGCAGGAGAGGAAGGUAGAAUUCCCGGUGUAGCGGUGAAAUGCGUAGAGAUCGGGAGGAAUACCAGUGGCGAAGGCGGCCUUCUGGACUGACACUGACACUGAGGUGCGAAAGCGUGGGUAGCAAACAGGAUUAGAUACCCCAGUAGUC